AGUGAACGCUGGCGGUAGGCCUAACACAUGCAAGUCGAACGGCAGCACAGUAAGAGCUUGCUCUUACGGGUGGCGAGUGGCGGACGGGUGAGUAAUACAUCGGAAUCUACUUUUUCGUGGGGGAUAACGUAGGGAAACUUACGCUAAUACCGCAUACAACCUACGGGUGAAAGCAGGGGAUCUUCGGACCUGUCGCGAUUGAAUAAGCCGAUGUCGGAUUAGCUAGUUGGCGGGGUAAAGGCCCACCACGGCGACGAUCCGUAGCUGGUCUGAGAGGAUCAAUCCAUAGCUGGUCAGUGAGACUGGGCCGCGACACCUGCGGGGGGACGCAGUCCGGACUCUUACGGGAUGCACGAGAGCGUAAUACAGGAAUACGGCGUGAGUCCUGAUCCACCUAGGCUUGUAAAGCCAUUAUGGUGGGAGAGAAGUGAAGCACGUUAACCCGCGACUAUACUGACGGUACCCAAAGAAUAAGCUCCGGCUAACUUCGUG
rnacentral:rRNA from 1 species